CACUAGUGUACAGUGGCAUGUGUCUUGGUUCAGUUGCUGGUUUGGCAGCAUCUCCUGCAUUGAUACACAAGUUUGGUUGGCCAUCUGUUUUCUACUCUUUUGGUUCCCUUGGAAGUAUCUGGUUUGCACUUUGGUUGAGCAAAGCCUACAGUUCACCUCAAGAAGAUCCAAGUCUAAGUUUGGAGGAGAAGCAGUAGAUCGUGGGAGGCAACAUUUCCAAAGAACCAGUGUCUAGUAUUCCAUGGAAGAAGAUUUUGUCUAAGGCUCCUGUGUGGGCUCUCAUUAUUUCCCAUUUCUGUCAUAACUGGGGAACAUUUAUUCUGUUGACCUGGAUGCCGACUUACUAUAACCAGGUUUUGAAUUUCAACCUCACGGAAUCUGGAUUGCUUUGUGUGCUUCGAUGGCUCACUAUGGCUGUGUUCGCUAAUA